rnacentral:lncRNA from 1 species
CCCUUCAUUUCUCAGCACACAGCAAUCCAUCAUGUGGUGAAUUAUGCACUUCUUUUCCAGAAUGUGCAGCAAGCCUAGCAUAGCAAGGUAAUCCAGGACUACCUGUGCCCAUUAAGAUUCACAGUUCAGAAAUUGCAGCGCACAAAGACAAAUACAUGGACUAUGCACAAGCCACAGUGCUAUGCAGAGCUGGUGGCAUGAGCACAACAAAAUCGCAACAGUACUUAGGAAGCCAAACGUAGUACAACUGAUAAAAAGUUGAUCGAGAGAGAGGAUAGGCAAAUCUGCAGCCUAUUUUAGCCAGUUUGGAUCGAGCACGUGGACUCUAAUCCAGAAUCAAAAGGACACUACAUCUUUGUUAUACUGCUGUGUGCUUUAGCAAGAACUAAAAUACAUUUGUCAGCCAUGCAUGUGUUUGUUUUCCAAUUCAAAGUCGAUAGGCCAACAUGUUUCUAAAUGAGAUUUUAUUUUUGUUAUGCAGGAAUUGGCGACAUCUGUUCAUAUGUGUGUUACAAGGAAAAGGCCUAUGAGAAUCAUAAAUGAAGUAAGCGGGGUCAUUCGACCAUCAAGGUAAAUGUCACCAUAUCUUUCACUAACUGCCAACCGUUCUACCUGAAAACUAAGUACUUGAGCAAAUUUAGCAGAGAAAUACUAAAUACAGCUGUAUGAGUUUGUUAGCAUUUUUGUGCUUUCCCUCCUCUUCGUCUCCAAUAAAAAAGUCCCUUCUGUCUAGUCUAGCACUUGAGCAUCUAUUGUCUUUAUUAAGAUAUUGAAUUUUUAAACCCAUUCUGUCAGGAUGACACUUCUUCUAGGAGCACCAGGUUCAGGGAAAACAACAUUUUUAAAAGCAUUGGCAGGAAAAUUGGAUUCUUCUUUGAAGGUAGACUAAAUUACCUACUACAUGCUAUCAGAAGUAUUUGUUAAAGAGAACGGGGGGAAAUGAGAUAACCUGACAAAAAUGCAUUUUUCUUAAUGACACAAUGAUUCAGUUCAAAGGAAAGGUACUGUACAAUGGACAAGAAAUGAGUUCCUCAACACCGCAGUACCUGCGUGCUUAUGUUAGCCAGUAUGAUCUUCACCAUGCGGAGAUGACAGUAAGAGAGACGAUCGACUUCUCUUCCAAGAUGCUGGGAACCAAUAAUGAAUUUGGUAAGACAUCCUCUUGCAUAUAGUAAGCUAUUCAUUUUGAACAUCAUUGCAAUGUGCUGCAGUUAACAGUAAUGCAGACACUGUAACUCAAGAAGGAAGUAUGGAUAGAAUGUUCAAGAUUUAUCAAUUUUUCCAUGGCACAAAUACUGAUACAGUCGUGUUUGCUUGGAAUGAUAAUCUCAGAGAUGCUAGGAGAAGCAAUAAGAAGGAAAAAAGGUGUCAUCAACAAAGUCGACCAAGAUCUUGAUUCAUUCAUUAAGGUAGUUUCACAAUGUAUUACUUCGCUUCUUGUAAAACUGGAUUAUAUUUUGUUCAGUUACUCAAAAAACUUUCCUCUGAAGGCUACCACCUUUGGAGAAGGAAGCAACCUUACAACAAACUACAUUAUCAAGGUAACUUGAUUACUUGUUCAGUUUGCUAUAUAACUUGACAACAUAAUAGUAACAGUUGAUUAUAUGCAGAUACUUGGCUUGUCUGAGUGUGCUGAUACCCUAGUAGGAGACGAGCUGAGAAGAGGAAUAUCAGGAGGGCAAAAGAAAAGAGCCACAAUUGGUAAGCAUAACACUUCUCAAUCAGUCAAGUAAAAUACAUAUAUAGCUAUAGGUUUUGUAUAGGCAGCACGUGCUUUGAUCUGAAAGAAUGCAUAAAACCCUAAAAACAGAGUGCUUAUAACUAUCAAGCCAAAUGGAAAGCAGCUAGCCAGAAAGUUAGAAUGGGGAACAGAGUAAGGAGAGACUUAACUGGCUAACUGAAGGAAUGUUUGAACUUGGAAUCAAGUGGUAAUAUAUCAGAAUUAUAUCCUCGUUUUCCUGUACAAAAGUAUCAAGUGGGAACUUUAGUAAGAUGAUAUGCUCAAUUUUUCUACCAUAAAAAGGAACCAAUAUGUCAAGAUCCAGGAGCAAAUAGCAUGAAAAAAAUAGUAGCUUUCAAUCAAUUGAACUGUGGAAACGUUAUAUUAUAGUGGCAAUAGUGUAGUAUAUUCUCCCCUUAAUAUAUUGAAACUCAACAAUUAAUUCCACUGUAUCAGACCAAGCAUCGAUCAAUGUGUUAUAACUAGAUAAAACUAGGAUUUGCGUGCAUUCUCGCUGCACUAUAUACUUUCUAGUAGUGACAUUCACAUGAGACUAUGAGAGAGCAUCCCACGCAAAUCAAUAUGCCAGUAACAUUGAAGAAAAUUGUAAUGAGAUGGUGCCAACUACCGAGAAGUUUGAAUACUGACAUCAUGGUUGACAGUUUUAUUUGCAACUUUAUUAAAAUGAUUUUUUUUUAAAUGCAGGGGAGAUGCUAGUUGGUUUUGCAAGAUGUUUCUUUAUGGAUGAUAUAUCAACAGGUCUAGAUAGCUCCACCACAUUUGAGAUCAUGAAAUUUCUCCAACAGAUGGCACAUUUGAUGGAUCUCACAAUGGUUAUUUCCUUGCUGCAACCACCUCCCGAGACAUUGGAACUAUUUGACGACAUUAUACUUUUAUGUGAGGGGCAAAUUGUGUAUCAUGGUCCUCGAGAAAGUGCUACAGACUUCUUUGAAACUAUGGGAUUCAAAUGCCCCAGCAGGAAGAAUGUAGCAGAUUUCCUUCAAGAGGUACUCAAUUAUUAAAUGUACCUAGAUGGCUUACAAUUCCACGCAGUAGUGCAAAAUACCAGUACUCUGCAAUAUAUGUACUUGUGCAAAAUAAUGUAACAUUUUUUCUCCAAUUGACCACUAACCAGGUAACCUCAAAGAUGGACCAAAAGCAAUACUGGGCUGGUGAUCAAAAUAAGUAUCACUACCAUUCAAUUGAAAAAUUUGCAAAAGCUUUCCGAAUGUCAUAUCUCCCUCGACUAGAAGAAGAAAAACUGUGCAGUUCAAACAGUACUGGAAAGAACAAGGAAGUAAAAAUGAGUGCAAGUCGCCAGAUCUCCAGAUGGAAUAUUUUCAAGGCAUGCUUUUCAAGAGAAGUAUUGCUCCUAAAACGGAACUCUCCGGUACAUAUAUUCAAGACCAUACAGAUAACUGUUAUGGCUUUGGUGAUCUCCACACUUUUCCUGAGAACAAAAAUGAGCCACAAAUCCGUAGUUGAUGCUAAUGAGUACAUGGGAGCGCUUUUUAUGGCUGUUGUGAUAGUAAACUUCAAUGGCAUGACUGAAAUUGCAAUGACAAUAAAGCGACUUCCCACCUUCUACAAGCAAAGAGAAUUACUAGCAUUGCCAGGAUGGGCACUCCUUUCUUCUGUUUUCCUUAUUAGUAUCCCGAUAU